AUUUACCAUAAAAUGAUCGUUAAUAAACAAGAGUGAUUGUUUGAUUUAUAUGCACAAACCAAUUUAUUUAUAUACCUAAUAUUACCGAUAUCUUAAUAUUUUAAUAUAUAUUUAUUAUUGUAUUAUUUUUCAAUAUGUAGAAAACAUAAAAUAAAUAAUAGUAUAUAAAUAUAAUUUAUAUAUAAAAUAUUUAUCCCGUGCAAGGCGCGGAUCUUAACCUAGUUUAUAUAGUAUUUGGCUGUUAGGUUAACGUCAUUGAUAAUUACCAUAAGCUAAUAAACUAAUACGAAAACUAAUUUUUCUAUUUUUCCUUAACUCUCCCAAAAUAUAUUAUCUACUCUUGGCUUGAUUCCAAAGUUUUUGCAUCUUAAAUAUAAAUUUUUUUAUAUUUACCUCAUACCGAAUUGUGUAUCAAGUUAAUUAUAUUUGAUAUUUAAGCAUAAGAGUAUUAAGUUAAUAUCAUUUAAUUGUUUGAUCUAAUAAAGAAAACAUCAUUUAUACAUAAUUAAAUUACACUUCUGUGCAGUGUGUAUACUGCUUUGCGAAGAUUAAUAUGUUAUACCGACCAAAACUUUCUUUGAAUGUUGUUUGGUUCAAUUAAAAGAUAACUUCCACAUAAAACCAACAUCAACAAUACAAAACUGGACAUCUUCUUCUGUUUUCCAACACUAAAUAUACAGAACAUUAAUCCCAUAUAUGAUUAUAUAGGAUUAUGAAAGACUUAAAAACUCACAGAUUAUAUCACCAUUUAUAUAUGAUUAUGUAGGAUUAUCAAAUACUUCAUACUAGGAUGAGACCACGCUUUGCGUGGGGGUGAGAUAUGCAUAAAAAUCAUAUAUUAAAGUAGGGUUGUUUAAUCCGAAUUUUGGUCUUGUCUCGACUCAAUUUUUUUUGAUAUUUUAGUUUAUAAAAAUUAGAUACCAUACUAAAAUCAUAUAUGUUUUAGUUUGGUUCAGUUUAUAUAUUGCCGGUUUUUGGUUUAUUAAAUUUUGGUCUUGUCUCAAUUUGGUUUUCCGAUGUUUUUGUUUACAAAAAUUAGAUACCAUAUUAAAAUCAUAUUUAUCUUAGUUUAGUAUAGUUUAUAUACUGUCAAUUUUUGGUUUAUUCAAUUUUAUACCAAACAAACUUAAACUUUUAUAACAUUUUGUAAAUUUAAUUUUGUAUGAUUAAGAAUCAAAUUUAUUAAAUACUACUCUAAUUUUUAAAUAGAACAUCUUUUUCUAUUAUAUUUAACUAUUAAAAAUAAUUGUUAAAUAAAUAAGUUAUUAUAGAUUUAUAAGAUGAAAAGAAAAAAUAUUAACAAUAUACUAAAUUUAUGAUAAAUAUAUGUCAAAGAAAGCCUUUACUUAAGAAUAACCAAUUAUUCAUAUUAACGUCUCAAAUAUCAAGAUCAUAUAAAUAAAAUAAACUACAUGUAUAUAAUUAUAUUAUGUAAUUUACAUAAUACUAUACUACUGUAUUUUAGUUAAUCAGUUUAUUCGGUUUAUAUGGUUUGAUCGGUUUAUAUACUAAACCAUAUCUAUGUACCACAAUUUUUAGAAAUAACAUCUAUCCGGUUUGUACAUUGUUCGGUUUUAGUUAGUCCGGUUUUUACCUAAUUGAACACCCUUAGUUCAAAUUACUAAAUCGUAGAUAGUUUGCAAACAUGUUUUUUGUACUAAUCGUACGUAAUAUAAUCAAAAUUAUAUGUAUUUUAUAAUUAAAUCUAAAAAUAAUUUACAAAAAUAGAUCUCAUUUUUUAAAGUACUAAACCAAACGGUUUUUUUUGGCUGUUUGCUAGUUGGAAAGAUGAUAGUAUCGUUAGUGAUACUUAACGUUUAAAUAUGAUUAGCUUAUAUGUUAACUUCGUCUCUAAUUACCAUUAACGAAUACGAUUUUCAGUUACUAUAAUUUUUCUUAUCUCCCCAAAAUAUAUUUUCAAUUCUUGCCUUGACAAAGUUUUUGCAUUUUAAAUUUAAAUUUUCCAUAUUUCUCUUCUCUUCUACCUCACGGCAAUUAUAUUGGAUAUUUAUACAUAAAAGUAUUAAGUUAAUAGUGUUAAAAUCUAUAUGUAAUAAAUAAACUAUCAUUUAUACAUAAAUGUCGAUAUUUGUGGUAGAAUAUGCACGCUCUUGGUAGGUUGCUUUCCUAAACAAUGAUUAAAAGUAUUUUAAUAAAACUCUCAUUUAUACGUAAAUGUCGAUAUGCCCAGCGAAUAUGAUCUCGAACUUGGUUUAAAUAUAUAUACUUCUUAUUAUAUAUUUUUAUGUUUGAAUUAAUAUAAGUUUCCCUAGCGAAUUGAUUUUGGAUUUACAUAUUAUUAAAUCGCUUGUUAUGCUGCAACGUAAAGUCAAUUGACAUUCCAAUUAAGUGACAACUAAACAAAAAUAAAUUUAAAUAAAAAUUUAAAGUUCUAACUUUUUAAAUGUUCAUUAAUUAAUAUAUAGGGGAUGACUUGAAGUUAUAUGGGCUCAUGGAUUUGCAUAGCUUCAAAUUGAAAAUCUGAUUUAUUGAUGUCAUCAUUAUUACCUAGCUCUGGUAAUGUAAACGUGAGUAUAUGAGUAUUUCACGUACAUAAACCCCUCUUAAGACGUCAAACCGAGAAUCAAUAAAAAAGAUUUAUGUAAUCAAUAUGUAGAUAUAUCCACACAAAUUGCGACUUGUAAUUAAAGACAUAGUGAAUAUAUGCACAUGUAAGUAGCCUUAUUUGAGCAAGAGCGUUAAUUAUAAUAUAUGCGUUUGUGAAAACUUCCUUUUGUGGCCUAACGUGCUUUAGCCUAAGUAAAAAUUAAAUAUAUCCCUAGAGAAAUCACAAUCUAUAUUUUGGACCAACUUUUGUUUUUCAAUUGAAUAUGAAACUGCCACGUCGUACUAAUUGAUAUGCUAAUUAAUUGACACUUAAGCCGAAAUUUUUUAAAAUUAAUACAAACUUCAGGUUAUAACUUUUCAAAUGUUUCUCUAUUAAUAUAUAGGGGAUUUAUAUAAUUGUUUAUAUAUGAUCCCACAAUGAAAAGCGUGAUUACAUAUGUUAGGCUACCGAGAUUAUAUGUUGAAACUUUAGUAUACUAUUUUUUAUUUGUAUUGGACGACGUAUGAAUAUACUUAAACACGUUUUUUGUGUUUCAUCAUGAAUGAAAGACAUUUAUGUUUUUCCUUUUAUGCUUGAGUUUGGUUUACCAAUUUGCUUAUCGUAUAUCAUCAUAUGCCUAAAUACACGCUUGUUAUAAUAUAAAGUUUUCUAACAAUUGAAUUUUGGACUUACAAAUUAUUCAAUUGAUUCUUAUGUUGACACGUAAGCCAAAUUGACAUUCUAAUUAAAUGACACAUCAUCAUAACUCUUUUUUAAUUAGUAUAAAAUAUAUGUUACACUUUUUAAAGGAUCCUCAAUUAAUAUAUAGGAGAUGUAUAUUUAACUUAAAAAUCUAUAAAAUAAAGGUAAGGUCCAAAAGUAGGAUUCUAUUUUAAUAAGGAGAUCUAUAUAAAUUUAAGACAACUUUUGACAAAGAAUCAUAUAAAUAAAGCAUUUCGACCCUUUUUCCCACAACAAAAUUGACAGAUAUAAAAUAAUGAAUAUUAGAAAAACAUUUGUUAUGUUUUUUCUUGUAGUGGUAUUAGCAACUUCUUCGUUGUCCAACUCCAACGUUUUAGCCUCACCGGUGAUCAAUCAUGUGGGUGGAUAUACUCAUUGCAUUGAAAGAUAUUGUACAAAAGAUUGGUUAGAGGCUGAAUGCGAAGCUGAGUGUAGAACAAGAACAUACAGCACAGGCUCAUGUCUUGGUCCUUUUCCAAAACUUCAAUGUUGUUGCAAAAAGUGAAAAAAAAAACUUUAGAAAGUGGUCAUCUUUUAUACAACUGGUGAUUUAAGGGUUGGUUUAUAUUUUUCUAUAGUAUAAAAAGAUAAUUUAUUAUCUUGUUUUAUCUUCAAUAAAAUAAUCUAAUUAUAUUAUUAUU